GAAACCCGGUGAUCUAGCCAUGGGCAGGUUGAAGGUUGGGUAACACUAACUGGAGGACCGAACCGACUAAUGUUGAAAAAUUAGCGGAUGACUUGUGGCUGGGGGUGAAAGGCCAAUCAAACCGGGAGAUAGCUGGUUCUCCCCGAAAGCUAUUUAGGUAGCGCCUCGUGAAUUCAUCUCCGGGGGUAGAGCACUGUUUCGGCAAGGGGGUCAUCCCGACUUACCAACCCGAUGCAAACUGCGAAUACCGGAGAAUGUUAUCACGGGAGACACACGGCGGGUGCUAACGUCCGUCGUGAAGAGGGAAACAACCCAGACCGCCAGCUAAGGUCCCAAAGUCAUGGUUAAGUGGGAAACGAUGUGGGAAGGCCCAGACAGCCAGGAUGUUGGCUUAGAAGCAGCCAUCAUUUAAAGAAAGCGUAAUAGCUCACUGGUCGAGUCGGCCUGCGCGGAAGAUGUAACGGGGCUAAACCAUGCACCGAAGCUGCGGCAGCGACACUAUGUGUUGUUGGGUAGGGGAGCGUUCUGUAAGCCUGUGAAGGUGGCCUGUGAGGGUUGCUGGAGGUAUCAGAAGUGCGAAUGCUGACAUAAGUAACGAUAAAGCGGGUGAAAAGCCCGCUCGCCGGAAGACCAAGGGUUCCUGUCCAACGUUAAUCGGGGCAGGGUGAGUCGAC
rnacentral:rRNA from 1 species